rnacentral:rRNA from 1 species
GACGAACGCUGGCGGCGUGCUUAACACAUGCAAGUCGAACGGUGAAGCUCCAGCUUGCUGGGGUGGAUCAGUGGCGAACGGGUGAGUAACACGUGAGUAACCUGCCUCUGACUCUGGAAUAAGCCCUGGAAACGGCGUCUAAUACUGGAUACGAGAUGGUCCUGCAUGGGGAGUUUCUGGAAAGGUUUUCGGUUGGGGAUGGGCUCGCGGCCUAUCAGCUUGUUGGUGAGGUAAUGGCUGACCAAGGCGACGACGGGUAGCCGGCCUGCGAGGGCGACCGGCCACACUGGGACUGAGACACGGCCCAGACUCCUACGGGAGGCAGCAGUGGGGAAUAUUGCACAAUGGGCGAGAGCCUGAUGCAGCGACGCCGCGUGAGGGAUGACGGCCUUCGGGUUGUAAACCUCUUUCAGCAGGGAAGAAGCGAAAGUGACGGUACCUGCAGAAGAAGCGCCGGCUAACUACGUG